ACCCUCCAGUUCAUGAGGGUGAUGACUGGGUGUUGAGCGUCUGAAUGAGCUAUGCCUCCCUAAGCCUUGUUACGGUUGGCACAUCCUGUCUGGAG
ensembl:snoRNA